rnacentral:rRNA from 1 species
GACGAACGCUGGCGGCGUGCUUAACACAUGCAAGUCGAACGGGAGUAUCGAAGAAGCUUGCUUUUAAGAUACUUUAGUGGCGGACGGGUGAGUAACGCGUGAGGAGCUGUCCUAUGCAGGGGGACAACAGUUGGAAACGACUGCUAAUACCCCAUAAGCCGAGAGGUAAAAGGAUUUAUCCGGCACAGGAGGUACUCGCGUCCUAUCAGCUAGUAGGUGAGGUAACGGCUCACCUAGGAGAAGACGGGUAGCCGGCCUGAGAGGACGAACGGGCACACUGUAACUGUGAUACGGUCCAGACUCCUACGGGAGGCAGCAGUGGGGAAUAUUGGGCAAUGGGGGCAACCCUGACCCAGCGACGCCGCGUGGGUGAAGAAAUCCUUCGGGAUGUAAAGCCCUGUCGUAUGGGAAGAGCAGAAGACGGUACCAUACGAGGAAGCCCCGGCAAACUACGUGCCAGCCGCCGCCGUAA